GGGGGCGUUUUGGCUUCGACGGGGGGGGAAGUGGUUUGCUAAGCGAGUCGAGGGAAGCAUGUGUCCUUGUUAAUAAAGUAUGCAUUAAAUGUAAACGCAGAAGACAAUUUUGCAUUAGCAGCUUAAUUUAAGCUACUCAUCAGUCCGGAUUGCCUACGGUUCGGGUAGCUGGUGUCAUAGAGUGGGAAACGAAGUCUAGCAAAGCUUUGAGCUAGAGGGGUAUUCAUGAAGCUACCGAAAAGAUAAGCCUGUUCAUGGGCGUGUCUUCUAGGGAAUUUUAAAACAUGAACUGCACUCGGAGAAAGGCAGAUGACGCUCCUUUCGGACACGGGUUCGACACCCGUCGCCUCCACCA
rnacentral:tmRNA from 1 species